rnacentral:rRNA from 1 species
CGGAUUGUAGUCUGCAACCCGACUACAUGAAACUGGAAUCGCUAGUAAUCGCAGAUCAGAAUGCUGCGGUGAAUACGUUCCCGGGUCUUGUACACACCGCCCGUCACACCAUGGGAGUUGGAAAUGCCCGAAGUCGGUGACCUAACCGAAAGGGAGGAGCCGCCGAAGGCAGGUCUGAUAACUGGGGUGAAGUCGUAACAAGGUACC